GGAUGUGAGGGUGAUCUGGCUGUGACACUUGUCAUCACAUUGAUCCCCAGGGUUGAUUCGGCUGAUCUGGCUGGCUAGGUGGGCGGCCCCUUCCUUCUACACAGCUCCAUGUGCUGUGUGCUUGCUUGAAGAAGACCAUCUUCCCCAAUAGAGGAGGACCUUUCCUUGUUCACAGGUGUACAAGUAGCUCCUGCUAGAACUUCCAAACAAGGUUCAUUUGUAGGAGAAUAUACAGCAGCCAAGACUCCCGGACUCCACAUCCAGAAUGAGGUGUUGCAUUUGGCAGUUUCUGCUUU
ensembl:misc_RNA 7SK 7SK RNA